UUUGAUCUCUUAUUCUUCUUAUUUUCUAAUACACUAAAAGACCUUAUCUUGAAAAAAAAUCUCCCUCUCUCCUCUUAUCUCUCUCUUCUCCUCACCGUUUCUCCUUUCACCCUUCUCUCUCCCUUUUCCGGCAGCCUACCCUCCCUCUCUUCUCUUUCCGGCUGGUGAGGCCAUUAGUCGGAGGUGGCGACGCCCCUCUGUCGCCAACCCUCUCCCUUAAACUGCCGCCCCUCUCUCUUCUCUUCUUCUUUCUCCUUUCUCCCUCCACUUUUUCCGACGACCCCCAUUUUAGCCGGCAAGGAUGGCUGCCAGGAAGCCUCCUCUCCCUCUCCCUCUCCUCCUUCCCUUCCCCUCUUCCACUUAUUCCUAAUCGUCCCUCUCUUCUCCUCUUCCCGUCUCUUCCCUUCACUUUCCACUUCCCCUUUCUCUCCUUCUUUUGCAGGUACCACCGGCCAGCACCACCGGUAGGCCGCGCAGCAGCAGGCCAGAGACAACAGUCGCUGGCAGCCUCCGCCUCUUUCUCUCCCCCUUCUUACCUUCUCUCCAAUCGUCUCCCUCUUCCCCUCUCCUUCUCCAUCGUACCUCUUCCUCUAGUCGUUUCACCUCUCUGUUUUCCCUCCCUUUUCUUCUCCUGCAGGGACUGCAACUCCGUCAAAGGCAGCAGCACCAGCCGACAAGGGAAGCAAUAACUGCGAGGUAAGAGUAGCGAAUUAGGGGCGAAAUGGCAAAGGAUAACAGCCCAUACCACCGACGAAACAACAACACCGGCAAACAACAAGCUCCAACGUAGUUCAGAGGCUUCAGGGAUCGUUUUUCGACGGAGAUCCUUCCCUGUACAUUAGUUUUUUAUUUACUAUUUCGUUUGUGAUUCAUAUAUUUAUUGCUAACAACGUUUAUUUACUGUUUUGUUGUUUGCCAUAAUUGAACUCGUAAAUGUUGAAUGCUAGUUGAUACUAGUACAUAUCUUCAUGUCUCUAAUUUAUUCUUUUGCUAAUUAAAUUUGAAUAAUCUUGUUGGUUAAAUCAAUUUUAUCUUUGAAUGAUUUUUACUUUAGUAUACCAACUUCCUUGGACCUUAUUUGAUUUAGUUGGGUUAUUGCUUGUCUUAGUUAUGUUAAAAUUCGUCAAUUUUGAUUUUCAUAUCUUCUCUUAAAUUUUUGAUUCGUUGUUUAUUUGUGGCAGCUACAAAAAUUCUCCUUAUAUUAGUAGAUUUGGAUAGGAAUCUUGUAGGUUUAAAACUUGUUAAAUUGAUUUAAUAUUUGAUUCUUCCAAUCUUUUAAUAAUUGUUGAGUAACUCAUUAUUUUAUCUAUGAAGUAAAACCUUUAUUUAAAAUAUCAAUCAAGACUAUUUAUGGAUCCCAUAUAUUUCCUUCGAAUUUUUCUUAUUUAUAUGUUAAAUAUAAUAUGUCAAUAUUUUUAUUAUUAUUAUUUUAAUAUUGUUAAUUGAUAUAUAUUUCUUUUGUUGAAAAUUAGGCAGAUUCUUACUUGCUUAAUUUAGGAAAAUAAUAAUUCCAAUUUUUGGCUCCUUUGAAAUAAGGAAAAUAAUAUUAAUUGAUCUAUUUUUCCUUAUUUGUAAGUUGAUUGAUUUCUUACUUGCUUAUUUCCGGUUGAAUAAUAUCUUUCUGAUUUUGGCUCCUCUUUAUUUAAGGAGAAAAUAUAUUACUCUCUAUUAAUUUAUUCUUACUUGUUUAUAUUCUGUAAUGAAAUAUUUUAAAACUUUCUGAUUUGGUCCUCUUUUAUAAUAAGGAAAAUAGAAUAUUAAUUGAUUCCUUAAAAAAUAUUUGUUUAGCUUAUUUGUUCCCCCCUUUUCUACUAUAUAAGAGACCCCCUUUGCAUUAUUUUAACACUCACAUCUUUCAUAACAAGUUCUCUUAUCAACUCAUUCAUUCUCUCUCAACACAAGAACUAGACUUCUUAAAUCUCUAUCAUUGCUCCCUUUCUACUCUUGAACGAAAUAAGUUUUCGGUAACUUUCAAGUGCCACUUUGCUACUUUGAUUUUGUUCGAGUAAAGGUUGGAUCAACUUAUUUUUCAUUGCUACCAUUCCUAUUAUACUUUACCGGUUAGUAUUCUUAAUAAGCAUUUACAUUAUAUUUUUUGUAUUCUUAUAUUUUUGUAAGCUCAUUGUUCUAUUCCUGUUGUUAUGUAUAAGUCGUUAAAUAUUUGCAUGUGUGUCUCAUCUAGUCUAAAAUAAAUUUGAUUAGUUGUUUAGUUAUGUGAUUGCUUUGACAGGUUACAAACUUGAAGUUCAAGUUGAAGACGAGAUAUCAUUUGUCUAAUUCAUAUUUGAAUAAAUUUCUUAUGUAUUUAUUUAACUUUUUUUUUGUAAUAUUCGUAUAACACUGAAACUCUCAUAUAUGAUAUAAGAUUUGGGUGAUUGGCUAUAAGGGGAGGGGGAUAUAUAUACAUGCUAAUUAUUUUCUUUGCUUAUUAUGUUUUUUACUAUGUGAUUGAUAUAAAUUUUCGGUCUGUUAUUAAUGUAUUUAGAAGAGGCAACAUGUUGGAAUCACCCAAAUAGUCUAUUUAAAAUUAAUUAUUUAUUUGCCUUGUUUAAUUAGUUGAACCAAUGAGAGCUUGUAACAUUAAUAAAGUUAGCAACCUAGAUCUUAGCUUUUAUAUGUUAAUAAAUUUUUUAGCAUGCUAAUGAACUUAACAAGAGAAAGCGAACCUUGUAAAAGUAUCAAUGUCAUGAUUGUUAAUGUAAAG
rnacentral:lncRNA from 1 species